rnacentral:rRNA from 1 species
GACGAACGCUGGCGGCGUGCUUAACACAUGCAAGUCGAACGGAAAGGCCCUGCUUUUGUGGGGUGCUCGAGUGGCGAACGGGUGAGUAACACGUGAGUAACCUGCCCUUGACUUUGGGAUAACUUCAGGAAACUGGGGCUAAUACCGGAUAGGAGCUCCUGCUGCAUGGUGGGGGUUGGAAAGUUUCGGCGGUUGGGGAUGGACUCGCGGCUUAUCAGCUUGUUGGUGGGGUAGUGGCUUACCAAGGCGUUGACGGGUAGCCGGCCUGAGAGGGUGACCGGCCACAUUGAGACUGAGAUACGGCCCAGACUCCUACGGGAGGCAGCAGUGGGGAAUAUUGCACAAUGGGCGGAAGCCUGAUGCAGCAACGCCGCGUGCGGGAUGACGGCCUUCGGGUUGUAAACCGCUUUCGCCUGUGACGAAGCGUGAGUGACGGUAAUGGGUAAAGAAGCACCGGCUAACUACGUG